CUGACUAUUGCUGUUUUAUUAUCAUCUCUCUGAGCUCCUGUUACCAUCUCCAAGAACGCUCAUCAAAUAUCCCAGAGGCGGGGAUCAUACCACUGUAUGCCUACUACACUAGAGCUAGUAUAAUCUCUAUCAAAUGUGAGCGGAUCUACUAUAUUUUAAUUUUUUUAAUCUAUUUUUGAAACAUACAGCAUCAUUACUGUUUUCGUUUUAUUUUCCCCCUGGCUGUCUGUUACUGCACCGAAGAGGAAACUCACUGCAUAUCCUACAAGCGGGGAUCAUCCCUCUGCAAGCUAUUCACACCAGAGCUAGAUUAUGCUCUACAGAAAGUGAGUAAGAUCUCUUGUAUUUUUAUGCGAUAUCUCUUGGAUCACCCUGUACCAUCACCCUUUUCAUCACUCAUCGCCCUCUUCCACAUAUUCUAAACCUGCUAGGAGCGGAACCAUACAACUCCAGAGACCAACCUAGGAUCCAAGUUCCACUAUACUGGACUCCGCUUUAUUAUUACUACCUCAAUUAGGACUUUAUUUACCUUGCCUAUUGGCGCAGUCCCAUCCCUUUGUUUGUUUGCUUUUUUCCCAUUUACUUCAAGGACACGGAAGGGAGUCCUUGUUUGGGAUUGCUGCCUUUUUUCUUUCUCUUGAUACGUUAGCGCUGACUCUAUUUUCUGUUUUUCUGUUAUGUUACUGCCUACAUGUUUCUCCAUAUUGUUCUUGUUUAUGUCAUGUGUCCGUCUGGAUCCCAAGCUGGGAACCAAUCACCUCUCUGUUCUCAUUACAGGUAAUAACACCUAUGUUUAUCCAAUCCUAUAAACUCAUAUUGAC